AUCAGCUGGGAGAACGAGCAGAGAAGGAGAGCUGGGAUGGAGGGCUGGAGAGAGAGAGAGAGAGACAGAGAGAGAGAGACCCUGUGAGGAUGGAGAGGAAGCAGAAGAGAGAGACUUAAGGAGUCAUCUGACAGCUUCCUGUGGCGGUAGCUUCUCCAGCUCCCUGAAGAUUGGUGGAGGAUAAUCCAUCUCGCCCUCCUCCGAGCUCUCUCCAUCCGCACGGUCACUCCGGUCAGCCCCGGCUCGCUCUCUCUCUCGUUCCAGCUCACCCAUGGCCUGCACCAGCACCUCUCUGGUCAGCCCCGAGCCCAAAAGUGACCACACCAGCUGCUCCUGUAAGGCCGAGAGUCUGCGGACGCUUCCUGUUGACUUUCGCUCCUCUCCUCCGUCCAUCGCUCUUUCGCUGGACUCCAUUGUCUUUGCUGCUGGACGGUGCGCCUUAGGAGCUGACCACAGGGAGGGAUUCAACAGUGAGCUUGAUACAGGGACACGUAUAGACAUACAUGCGGUUUGGCAGUGUGGUGCUAAAGCAGUGAGGGCACCACCAGGCACUCAGAUCAGUACGCAAACACUAAUAACCCGCUGUGGUCAGCAGUGCUGUCUAUAUGUGUGGUGCUAAAUGAAGUAAUGAAGGUCCUUACAUUGAUGUGUAAACACUGAUAACUCACACACAAGCACACACAAGCACAAACGAACCAUGCUCGCACACUCGCUGACACACUCAUAUUCACCUGUGCGGUUCUCCCGGCUCUAGAUAUCAGCUUUCGUCCCUCAGUGCGGUCAGUUUGCCCAUAAAUAAUCGUCCAAACAGCUCGUGUCCACUUCCUCUCGGCCUUCUCCGUCUCUGCCCGCAAACCUGCUGCUGUUUUUGCUUUCAAAUGCGAUUUUUUUUUUCUCUUUGCUUCCCACUUCACCCCCUCCUCCCUCUCUCUCUCUCCCUCUCUCUCCCUUUCUCUCUCUCUCAGACUGAACUUUGGCCCCAUCUCCCUCCAUUCCCGGUUCAGUUCAGAGUGCAGAGUCUAAUCAUGACCCUUCAGUGCAGAGAAACACACCACACACACAUCUUCAUCCACCCGUCCAUCUGCCCACUGCUGCCCACUCAAAACUCUCCUAUUUCUUCACACGGCGCUCUGAGGUUCUCUGUGUAAAGUCAAUAUAGAACCAGUAGGCUACCAUUACAGAACCGACAGAAACUGAGAUCAGGCAGGAAACGAAGAUCAGUUUGGGUUCUGCAGGAAUGAAAAAUGAAAGGAAUGAAUUUAUAAACAGCCACUGUAUUUCUCACAUUAUGAUGUGUUUAAUGUGUCUACAGUGCCGAACAGGCUGCUUCACCCUGCUGUUUCACCAUUUCUAGUUCUUUUAUAUUAUUUUAGUGUUUUGUGUCUGUUUUGUAUUUAUACUCUUUGAUAUGCUGUGUUUUAUGUCAAAGAGACUGAGGAACUUAUAGAAAUACAAUUCUUGUUGUAUUAUUGUAAUGUGAGUAAAGUAUUUUCAUACUUUCUGUAAUAUAAUGCUAAUCGUUGCACACUUUCCAUAAUGAACACUUUUUUACUGUA